GCCCGCGUCACACUGUCCCGAUUUUUACGCCGAUGGCAACACGAUUAUGGAAAUUUUCAAAAUCGGGACUGAUCGUAUCCAGAUCGGGCUAUUCGUAGUGCCAUCUUUAACCAUCUUUAACCAUCGGCCACUUUUUCUAGCCUUCGGGGACAACUUCGGGAAGGGUUCUAAAUUUUUUAACAUGUUAAAAAAUCCCCGAAGGUGCGUCCGAUGUUGAGGGUUCGUAUUGAGUUCGUAUCACCAUCCUCACCAUCGUAAUGUCACCGGGAAUGCAUCUUUGAACAUCGUAUUGCAUUCGUGUUUCCAUCGUUUCCAUCGGGCAGUUUUAACAUUACGAUGUCUACACGAAUGAAUCACGAAGCUACCCGAAGGUCUUACGAUGGACAACACGACUUCGUGAAGACCUCGUAAUCCCGUCGUGUUGCCAUCGAAUAAAAGUACGAAGGCGACAAGAUGGAACUACGACGGCAAUAAAUCCAGC
rnacentral:lncRNA from 1 species